GAGAUGGAGAACAGUUAGUGGUUGUCAGGGAUUAGGGAGAGGGCCAGGGAGAGAGGUGGCUCUGAUUAUGAGAGGGCAGGCAGAGAUGGGAGUUGAUGCAU